rnacentral:rRNA from 1 species
AUUGAACGCUGGCGGCAUGCCUUACACAUGCAAGUCGAACGGCAGCACGGGAGCAAUCCUGGUGGCGAGUGGCGAACGGGUGAGUAAUAUAUCGGAACGUGCCCAGUCGUGGGGGAUAACGUAGCGAAAGCUACGCUAAUACCGCAUACGAUCUACGGAUGAAAGCGGGGGAUCGCAAGACCUCGCGCGAUUGGAGCGGCCGAUAUCAGAUUAGGUAGUUGGUGAGGUAAAGGCUCACCAAGCCGACGAUCUGUAGCUGGUCUGAGAGGACGACCAGCCACACUGGGACUGAGACACGGCCCAGACUCCUACGGAGGCAGCAGUGGGGAAUUUUGGACAAUGGACGCAAGUCUGAUCCAGCCAUUCCGCGUGCAGGAUGAAGGCCCUCGGGUUGUAAACUGCUUUUGUACGGUAACGAAAGGUUUACUAUUAAUACUAG